UACGUAGGGGGCAAGCGUUGUCCGGAAUCAUUGGGCGUAAAGCGCGUGUAGGCGGCCCGGUAAGUCCGCUGUGAAAGUCGGGGCUCAACCCUCGAAUGCCGGUGGAUACUGUCGGGCUAGAGUGCGGGAGAGGCGAGUGGAAUUCCUGGUGUAGCGGUGAAAUGCGCAGAUAUCAGGAGGAACACCGGUGGCGAAGGCGGGACUCUGGGCCGAUACUGACGCUGAGGAGCGAAAGCGUGGGGAGCAAACAGG
rnacentral:rRNA from 1 species